UUGAAUCUGACUACCUGUCUUGUAGUUAAUUUCAAUUAGAAAACAUUCUCUGGUAGACCAGAGAAUCAUUCAACAUCCUCAAAGUAAUGUUUUUCUUCUAUCAUUCAAAAAUCGAUUUUGAAUCCGAGUGAACGUUUUAAUUUUUAUGCAACUCCAAUCACCUCCCUGUGGAUCGACCUCUUACGACCACUAUUCUUCGAGUAGAAAAGAUAAGAGUAAAAUUAAAUUAAACUUUGUUUGUCGGUUCUAACAAUGAUCUGUUUAGCGUAUUUUUGGGUAAACAGGAAUCGGACAACAGUCGUCCUCUGGAUUCUCUGAGAGAGUCGACCCCAGCCCAUCUCGAGUCGAGCCCUCUUUACUUCGAGUCGACCCCAAUCAGGUCAAAAUCUUGAUUGAACCUAAAAUUGAAUCCAAUUCAAUUUGGCUCAUCCUUAGCCCAUUUACUCAAUCAAAUUGAGUUUAUUAGAAAUCUAAUUACUAAUUAAUCCUCCAAUAAUUGCUUUAAUUAUUUUAUAGGAUAAUUUGCCAAUUGAAUUGACCAAAUUAUUCCUGAAUGAUUCUCAAUCAUCCAUCAGCCAUCUUGAUCAAUCAGGAAGCUUCUAUGCGUGUGACCUCAUAGGUUCGAACCUAAGCCGGUAGUACAAGAACGACUUCCUGCACUAAUCGAUGUGACCAUCUAGCAAUGGUACCCGACGUCCGGAUAGGCCGAAUAUAUGCAAAGCAAAUAUUCUGAA
rnacentral:lncRNA from 1 species